rnacentral:rRNA from 1 species
UACGUAGGGUGCAAGCGUUGUCCGGAAUUAUUGGGCGUAAAGAGCUCGUAGGCGGUCUGUCGCGUCUGCUGUGAAAAUCAGGGCUCAACCCUGGACCUGCAGUGGGUACGGGCAGACUAGAGUGCGGUAGGGGAGAUCGGAAUUCCUGGUGUAGCGGUGAAAUGCGUAGAUAUCAGGAGGAACACCCAUGGCGAAGGCAGCAAACUGGUCCGUAUCUGACGCUGAGGCGCGAAAGCGUGGGUAGCAAACAGG